GCGCCGGUGGUGCAACGGUUCAGCAAAUGCUCCCGGAAAGAGUGAGAUGUGGGUUCGAAUCCCGGCUGACGCA